rnacentral:rRNA from 1 species
AGCAGUCGCCGCGGUAAUACGUAGGGUGCAAGCGUUAAUCGGAAUUACUGGGCGUAAAGCGUGCGCAGGCGGUUAUAUAAGACAGAUGUGAAAUCCCCGGGCUCAACCUGGGAACUGCAUUUGUGACUGUAUAGCUAGAGUACGGCAGAGGGGGAUGGAAUUCCGCGUGUAGCAGUGAAAUGCGUAGAUAUGCGGAGGAACACCGAUGGCGAAGGCAAUCCCCUGGGCCUGUACUGACGCUCAUGCACGAAAGCGUGGGGAGCAAACAGGAUUAGAUACCCGGGUAGUCCUGUCUCUUAUACA